rnacentral:rRNA from 1 species
GCACCACAAGAACGCGUGGAGCAUGUGGCUUAAUUUGACUCAACGCGGGAAAUCUUACCGGGUCCGGACACACUGAGGAUUGACAGGCAAUAUCUCAUGGUUAUUAACCCGGUUAUUACAUUUUGUUUAAUCGGUUAUUAAGCAUCGAGUGUUAAAUAUGCUAGUCCUUUCAUGAUUAUGUGAUAGGUGGUGCAUGGCCGUUCUUAGUUCGUGGAGUGAUCUGUCUGCUUAAUUGCGUUUCACUAAGGGCCCAUAAAUUCAAGGUAUGUUAGCUAUCGUCGCUCUAUGGACCCCUUAUACUCGAUUUCGCUUUAAUUAGCGUUAUUUGUUUAAUAAGCGCGCGUCUUUAUUUAAUGAGUUUAAGACACUGCGCAUGCUGUUGGGCUCUGAAAGCAACGAACGUGACCGCAACGUCUUGUUGCCUUAAUAAAGUUGGCUUUUAAUACAAUUCCCCGAAUUCGUAUUUAAACCGCUUACAGAGGCUAUUUAAAACUAGACGGACCGCUGUUUCUUUUCUUAAACCAGAGGAAGGUUGCGGCAAUAACAGGU